GACGAACGCUGGCGGCGUGCUUAACACAUGCAAGUCGAACGAAGUGGCGAACGGGUGAGUAACGCGUAAUCACCCUGCCCUUCAGAGGGGGACAACAGUUGGAAACGACUGCUAAUACCGCAUACUGACGGGGGGGAUUGCGUCUGAGUGGCAAGUUGGAGGGGUAACGGCCCACCACGGCGAUGAUAAGUAGCCGGUCUGAGAGGAUGAACGGCCACAUUGGGACUGAGACACGGCCCAGACUCCUACGGGAGGCAGCAGUGGGGAAUCUUCCGCAAUGGACGAAAGUCUGACGGAGCAACGCCGCGUGAGUGAGGACGGCUUUCGGGUUGUAAAGCUCUGUUAAUCGGGACGCGGUACCGGAAUAGAAAGCCACGGCUAACUACGUGCCAGCAGCCGCGGUAAUAC
rnacentral:rRNA from 1 species